rnacentral:rRNA from 1 species
UACAGAGGUCUCAAGCGUUGUUCGGAUUCAUUGGGCGUAAAGGGUGCGUAGGUGGCAUGGUAAGUCGGAUGUGAAAUCCCGGGGCUCAACCCCGGAACUGCAUUCGAUACUGCUGCGCUAGAGUACUGGAGAGGAGAUUGGAAUUUACGGUGUAGCAGUGAAAUGCGUAGAUAUCGUAAGGAAGACCAGUGGCGAAGGCGGGUCUCUGGGCCGUAACUGACGCUGAGGAGCGAAAGCAUGGGGAGCGAACAGG